rnacentral:misc_RNA from 1 species
GCUGAGACGCACGCACGCUGCUCCACGCGUUGCGAGCUCGCUGUCAAAGCGCGAUUUGUUUACUGUCGUACAACACGUGUCGUGUCUUCAAUUUAACUUAUAACUAAUGCUAAAUCCAACAAAUUAACAUAAAAGUUAUUACCACAUUUUUAUUUGAAGAGAAAAGUGAGUUUUAAUUAAAAAGAAGAUCAACAAGUUUUCCAUGGAUUAAACGCUGUACUUUAUUUGAAUUUAAAUUAAAACAGACUUGAGAAGAAAAUGUUGCUGGGAAUUAAAUAAGUUUUUGUUUAGUGUUGGUAUAGUGACGAUGGGAUCGAGUUGUGUUAGUAUGUCAGUGUGUGGAGUGUGGUGGCUGGUACUCAUGGUGUUGGCAGACAGGAUCCAUGGCUACGUGGAGACUGAGGAGUUUAUCAGUGACCUGGACAAGCCAAUACCAACGGCGCACGCGCAAGGCGUGUUGGGGAAGAAGGCAGCUCUCCCGUGUGACAUCCAGCCGCUAGCGGCCGAGGAUCAUGUCUCCAUGGUGCUGUGGUUCAAGGAGACUGAUGGAGAACCGCUGUACAGCUACGACGUCCGCGGCCGCCUAGCCUCACAGCCGAAGCUCUGGUCCUCAUCAUCAGGCUUCGGAACCCGCGCCUACUUCAGAGCGGCUGCUAACCCUGCCGUACUGUUCGUGGACAGCGUGGUGUCUUCUGAUGCUGGGGUCUACAGGUGCAGGGUUGACUUCAAGAACUCGCCUACCAGGAACUUGAGGGUUAACUUUACUGUUAUCACACCACCAAAUAGGCCGACUAUCAUGGAUGCGAAGACAAGGAGUCACACUCGUCUUCUGGAGCCAUACAAUGAGGGAGACACCCUGGAACUGGCCUGCGAGUGCUUCGGAGGUGACCCUCGACCUCGCCUCACAUGGUACCUCGAGAACACAGUCAUAGAUGAUUCCUUCGAACAGCGACCUGAUGGCGUGACGGUGAACACGCUGACAUUCCCCAACGUGGGGCGACAGCAUCUGAACGCCAGGCUCGUCUGCCAGGCUUCCAAUACCAACCUGGCGGCCCCGGAGGCUAAGCUGCUGAUUCUGGAUAUCAAUUUAAGGCCACUGAGCGUGCAGAUCCUGAACAAGCGAGCACAGCUGUCAGCAGACAGGAGUUAUGAGGUGGAGUGCAGGGCUGUGGGCUCCAGGCCUGAGGCUCAGGUCACCUGGUGGAAGGCGGGGAGGCAGUUGAAGAGGAGUGCUAAGAACUUCUCUGACAACAACGCGACAGUGAGCACUUUGAACUUGGUGCCGAUGGCUGAGGAUCAUGAGAAGUACCUGGUCUGCCGCGCCGAGAACACCAGGGUGCCUAACGCUGUUAUUGAAGAUCGGUGGUUCUUGAAUGUUCAGUAUGUGCCAAUAGUGACCCUGAAACUAGGGUCCAACCUGAACCCCAGCUAUAUCAAGGAAGGAGAUGGCGUGUACUUCGAGUGCAGCGUCAGAGCAAACCCCAAGACUAAGAAACUUACGUGGUAUAAAGGGGUGCAAGAGAUCCACCACAACGCCAGCGCUGGCAUCAUCCUGAGUGACCAGAGCCUGGUGCUGCAGAGCGUCACCAGGGCUUCGGCUGGAGACUACAGCUGCCUCGCGUAUAAUAAUGAAGGCAGUGCCACCAGCAAUCCUGUGUCUUUGCAGAUUAACUAUGCACCAAUGUGCAAGACGCUAAAUGAAGGCGAGGUCUACGGGGCGCUGAAGAUGGAGACAGUGGUGCUCCAAUGUGUGGUGGACUCCUCACCACCCCCCACCUACUUCAGCUGGUUCUUCAACAGUUCGGGGGAACAGACUGAGAUAUCGCCCAGCCUCUACACAGUCUUCGGGAACACCUCAACUCUUCGCUACACUCCCACCACAGACCUGGACUUCGGAACAGUUCUGUGUACUGCCACCAACACCGUGGGAAGACAGGAGGUGCCCUGUCUAUACAAGCUUGUUGCUGCAGCAGGGAACCCCACGGCUCUGCAGAACUGCUCGGUGGUGAACCAGAGUGCUGAUACUCUGCUGGUGGAGUGCCUCGAGGGCUUUGAUGGAGGCCUGCCUCAAGUGUUUUAUAUGGAGGUGUUGGAACUACCUUCACUCAUGGUAAGAGCAAACGUCUCCUCCAACCACACUCCUACCUUCGAAGUCCGAGACCUGGACAGCCGCUCCAGCUACACGCUGGUGCUGUAUGCUGCCAACGCUAAGGGCAGGAGCGAGGAGGUCACGCUCUAUACUGUGGCCAUCAGGCCGCCUGAUAAGUAUACAGGAGUGAGCACGUCAAUCCCCCUGUCUCCGAUGCUGGUCUCCCUCCUGUCAGUAGCUGCUCUGCUCUGCACAGGAGUCUGCGGCGUCAUCACGGCGCUGUACCGGCGGCAUGCAGCCAGGAGACACGAUAUAGACAAGCAUCCUCCUUCCACCAACGCACUCUACAUGGAACAAAGCGUGGAGUCGUUGUCGAAGCAGGACAAUCUGAACACGUACUGUGCGUCGCCUAAGCUGGACUACUGCAGUCAGUACGAGCUGAAGAUGGAGGGCAGUGGGGAGGAUACCGAUCCUGAUAUCAUUCCUUGUCAUUAUGACAUUUUGUUGCAGAUAAGAAACCAAUAGGUGAAUACAGUAAGCUGUCUACUCCUGGGUUAGACGCAGACCCUCACAGGAUAUUCAGCGAUAGACCAAUCAUACCAGGCAGUGCUUCAUCAGUAAGUAUAUGCGUAGUCAACCGCGGGGUGACAACUCGCAGCGCCGACAUUGCGGCGGCGCGCCGGCCCGAGGUCGUCACUACCGCGAGAAAGGUGCGCGAGAGUUGCAUUUAGACUUACUUUUAGAUAGUGAUGG